rnacentral:rRNA from 1 species
AUACGGAGGAUGCGAGCGUUAUCCGGAUUUAUUGGGUUUAAAGGGAGCGUAGGCGGGAGCUUAAGUCAGCGGUUAAAUGGUGCGGCUCAACCGUGCCCUGCCGUUGAAACUGGGUUUCUUGAGAGUGCAAGAGGCGGAUGGAAUUCAUGGUGUAGCGGUGAAAUGCUUAGAUAUCAUGAAGAACUUCGAUUGCGAAGGCAGUCCGCUGGGGCACGUCUGACGCUGAUGCUCGAAGGUGCGGGAAUCAAACAGGAUUAGAUACCCUGGUAGUCCGCACGGUAAACGAUGAUUACCCGCUGUCGGCGGCAGACAGUCGGCGGCCAAGCGAAAGCGAUAAGUAAUCCACCUGGGGAGUACGCCGGCAACGGUGAAACUCAAAUGAAUUGACGGGG